rnacentral:rRNA from 1 species
CCUACGGGAGGCAGCAGUGGGGAAUAUUGCACAAUGGGGGAAACCCUGAUGCAGCGACGCCGCGUGAAGGAAGAAGUAUUUCGGUAUGUAAACUUCUAUCAGCAGGGAAGAAAAUGACGGUAUCUGACUAAGAAGCACCGGCUAACUACGUGCCAGCAGCCGCGGUAAUACGUAGGGGGCAAGCGUUACCCGGAUUUACUGGGUGUAAAGGGAGCGUAGGCGGUUUAGCAAGUCAGAAGUGAAAGCCUGGGGCUUAACCCCGGGACUGCUUUUGAAACUGUUGAACUAGAUUGUGGGAGAGGUAGGUGGAAUUCCUGGUGUAGGGGUGAAAUGCGUAGAGAUUAGGAGGAAUACUAGUGGCGAAGGCGGCUUACUGGACUAUAAAUGACGCUGAGGCGCGAAAGCGUGGGGAGCAAACAGGAUUAGAUACCCGAGUAGUC